UGGAGGUGGGGGUGGGGGUGGGAUUACAGUCCUUGCAGGCGGCUCUCUGUGGAAAACGGCAGAAACUGUUAUAAAUUGUGCUUUCAGAGGUCUGCACUGCUCAGCAAAAAAUUAGCCUCCAAAGUUUUAAUUGGUACACCCAAAAUAAAUCCUUUUAAUGAGUGAAUUAACUGAUUUGGGACACAAACAUGGGAAAAUCAAAGAAAGCAAAUGUUGUGAGCAAUUUGUUCUUUAAAAAUGGACCCCAAAGGGCCAUUCCCUGACUAGUUCAGAGCCCUCGAGUAGAGUGAUCUGCGGCCUCUUCGGUGCCAGCCAGCCACAGUACCUGCAAGUGCACUGGAUGGCCAGUUGAAGGACUGUGUGCAAAACUGCUCCGAGCAGCCCUGAAGGACCCGUCUGAAAGGUUACUCCCCGUGAGAAAUACGCUGGUGGACAGAGCCCCAAGCUACAAGUUGCAAACACACAAAUACAUGUAGUGAACACAUUUACAAAUGGAGGCUCAGAGGUGCGUGCCAACCAGUGCGAGUAACCUUUUCAUUUCUGUACUAAGUGGCAGACUUUCUCAAAUCCUAGGUGUGUAAAGUAUAAUAGGACAAGCAGUAAUUGACUUUUAAACUCCACCCACCACCAGGGCUGCAAUUAAGAACUGCUGCUCAGCAAAGUUCAUAACUUGUAGGCUCUUUCCCCCAAUCCAAUUAAAACCCAGGUCUUCUGAGAAGGUGAGAACGUAGGAUUUACAUCGCAGCUCUCGUUUCAAAGGGCAGAGUGGCCAACAUCCAAUCUGGCAAGGCCAGUCCCCUCAGGCCAGAGAGAACACGAGAGCUUUCUGCCCAAUAGCCGAAAAAUGUGUUCAGAGAUGAAGAUAAAAGCAAUUCUUGUGCAGUGAUCCAAAAAAUAGCAUCUCUUUCCCCCCCAAAAUUACUUGUUUUAAUAAAGUAGACACACUGUGCCAACUCAACCAUUUAAUUAUCUGCAAAAAUGAUGAAUCAAAACAAUAGUUUGCAACAAUAAAUGACUAACCUCUGAUUAAAAUGUCUGUCCUCAUUAAAUCAAAAUAAAAGGCACAGUAUCUUAAAAAGAAAAAAAAAAGUAGCCUGAGAAAAUGAGCCGCCCCAGCCUCUAUGGCCUCACCUGUGAUAGUGACCAUGGCCUCCUGCAUGGGCACUGGUGCAUGUCCUCUUCCUAAGUGAGAGGACACAGGGACGCAUCGGUGUGGUGCCCUCAGAGGACUGUGACAUGAUAGGCGUUGCUCCUAUGUGGUCCUGUAGCCAGGACGGGGGCUUGUAUAAUUGCUGAUGCUGUUUUGCUAAGGGGCCUAGGGCAGGGAAGCUGGGAAGGAAGGGAGCAGAAGAAAACUUGCCUUCACAUGUGAUCGCAUCUCAGACUGGAGCUGAGCAGGGAAGGAGGGACGGGACCCAAGGCUGUACAACCCUGGAACCUCCAAACAUCUUUCACCCAGUAAACUGGAUCUCAAGCAAGCAGUGGCUUCUAAAGGCAGGAAGUGGAGGGUUGCCUGCAAGAUACAGUAAGACUCGGAAUCCAGUCAGGGCCUAUUCGUGGCUGCCUUUACAGCCUGUGGAGGUCAUAGCAGGCCAAGAGAGAGCAGGACCUCUGGUUCAGGUCAAAGGUACAUAUGGUAUCUGGAGUGCCCUUUGUGGGUGUUAUUUGUAAUUUGCUAAAAACAGAAGAGAAGGUGUCAUUCAAGCUUACAAAAGAGAUAAUGGAAAUGAUAUUACAUAAAACGUCUCUAUUCACACAUCUGAACAGGUCAGCGACAAGGCAGGAAUGGCCCCAAAACCAGUUCUUCUCUGGAACAAGACCAUAAAUAUUGAGCACCUCCUGUAUGCCUGGUCCUGGCUGGGUGCUCGGCACACUGGGAAAUGAGAUGCCUUUGUUUUGUUAUCCUAAAUGAAUCCUGAACUUUGGCUGUGAAAACAACUACUCUGUGUGUGUGUGUACAUGUGUGUGGAGGUCAGAGGUCAGCCUCAGGUGUCAUCACACAGGAAGGCUAUCCUCAGUUUUUUGAUACAGUCUCUUCCUGGCCUGGAGCUCUCCACUAAGCUAGGUUCUGGCCACCGAGCACCAUAGAGUCCUCUGUCUUUGUCUCCCCAGCACCGGGAUUAUUAAUGAGAGCCCCCGCUCCCAGUUUUGUCUGUGGGUGCUGGGGAUUGGUCUCAGGUCCUCACAUAAACUCUGAACUAUCUUUGCAGUCCUGAAUAACCCUGAACAAGACCCGUUAGCUAAAGGUAGAACUCCUUCCUUAGACCUGGGCAGUCAAGCACAAUGCCCAAGCUGUCCAGGAAACGUAUGUAACCAGGAAGCUCAGUGGCCACAGAAGCCACCUGCCCUGAGUCUACAGAGGUGACAGGACCGUUGGCAGAAAUAGCAAGAGUUGGGGACCAGGCAACGUUCAAGACAAAGAUCUUCUCUAAGGACAGAGUUCUGCUGGCACUGGAUGUAUCUGAAGUCAAUACACAGGGCAAGGCAUGUAAAAGCCCAGUGUGUUCACUGCCUCUACCGAGUGAGCAAUUCAGGAUGCCUCUAUGUGUCACCAGAGUGAUGCACAGGGCCAGCGAGGUAAGCUCCACUCCCUCAUUCAAGAUUAUGGAUGUCGCCUUGCCAGUGAAUCAAGAGAUUGCUCAUGCUGUAAAAGAAAGCACUCGCCAACAAAGGAUCUCACCUUGGAGGAAAGUUUGGCAUCAUUCACCAUCCCAGAGAUGAUGCUAAGACAAAUCUGAGUGUGAAGAGUCUCAUUCUCUGUGACAUGUGACAAAUAAUUCCAUCCAAACACAGGCUGGACCAAAGGCUUGUUCUCCCUCUCUCUCUCGCUCUCCUUCUCCCCUCCUUCCCUCCCUCCUUUCUUUCCCUCUAGUAAAUAGCACAGAGGCUUAGGAUCAUCACCGGCACUAACUAAGAAGGAAGGGAAGCACAGGGGGCAUGCAGGGCAGCACUGAAGGAAAGAUGAGGUGAGGUGGGGGCAGGGGUAGACUCAGGUGCUCUGUCUGUGAGAAAGUUAGCUCUGCUGUCCUUAAAUAGGCUGGGCUCUCCUCUGUGCUGCUGUCAGAAGUUAGAUGCAUGUGUCCCCAGAGAAGGGAGGGCACUCUGGUGUGAGACACUGGGCAGCUUCUGAGCUGAUUACCCACCCCUGUGAAGUCGAAUCAUUGCCUGGUAAAUCUCAAGAUGCUAGCCUGAGCCCCGUACCUUCCAGGCCCCAGGCAGAUGGAGAAAGAGAGGAGUGUGAAGCAGAGGGGACGUGGGCUGGCAGAUCAUGGGUCCUAGGCUAGGGCCUCUGCAGAGAGGUGGCUGGAACAUGAGAGCUGCAACUGUUCACCAUCCCUGGCUCUUUGGAGGUCUGAUCUAGAGAAUGAAGCUUUGAGGAAGGGCAGGCAGGUGACACUGAGGUGGUCCCCAGCUCAGAUGGGACCUGAUGCUGGUGGACAGACACAGGAACUCAUGGAGCUACAAAGCUCACAACAGGGAAAGGAACUGAGGGUUCAAUGCCACUAUGUGGCAUGGUGGGUUUGGCCACCUCCCAUCAUUUUAAGGUUCAGGGAAGACUGCAGCACGGGAGACAAAGAUGUACACAGCACAACUCGCACGGCCCCACUCCUGAUAAGGGGUUGUUGGAGGUGCUUCCUUCAUCCCCUUAGCUGUCCCAAAAAAGACCCGAGAAUGGGUCUGGAGUACUGUAGUAACAGCAACACCCCUGUGGAGUCUUUGCCUGCUCCUGACGCCCUUGGGACUUAGAGAUCCUAGUCAGCCAUGUGUUCAAGGCCUCUCUCUCCCUAAUGAGAGCUGAGAGGCUGAGGCAGUAGGGAUUUCCAGAGCACUGGGGCCACCCUGACACUUGGGUGCUUUCGUGAAUCAUUUGGGCUUGUACACUUUCACCUUUCAGGCUGACAAAGGGAGAGAAACAAACAGCAGCCUGGACUGAACAAGAGCCACGGCCUCAGGGCCUGAUGUCCAAACCUGAAUUUAAAUCUCAGCCCUGGGUGCAGUGCUGGGCGGGUCCAUCUCUCUAAACUCCUUCUCCUACUUAGAAUUGUCUUGGGUUUUACAUUAGUGACAAAAGGCCCAAACAGUGCACUCAGGGGUUCCACCCGGGGAAGGGCGGGUAUAAUUAAAUACAUUAUUUCUAUUAACUCGAUCUAUUUUAAUAAAAUAGAUAGGUGUCAUCUAUUUUAGCUCCCUAAAUGUGUUUAAAUGAAAGACAUUACCGUAAUAUCCUCUCCUCCCCUCUCAGCUGACGGUUGAUUACUGCGAGAGACACAUACAUGGAGAACAGAACAAAAGGCAAACUUGAUACGCAAGCCUCUGCAGACAGCAGUGUCCAGAGCAGCCCCAGCAGAGGUGUCAGGAGCAGAUGAAGAGCUGGGGUUAAGUACACUUCCUUGGUUAUUAGUAUGCUUUGGGCCAGGCCUGCAAUGGGGUCCUCUGCCAGGAAGGAAGUUAUGAGAAGAUGAACACAGUGGGAGGAGGGAGUGCCCAGAUACCUGCUCUCUGUCAAGGUGCUGUCUAAACAGAGUGCCCAUGAGGUCUAGGGCCUGUAGAUACAUAGCAUCAGGCAGGAUCUUGGACCACCUUGAGCUGCAUGUAUACAUGGUACCUGUGGCCCUGAUGGGGGUACAACCACACCUUGUCUCAAACAACUGCAGUUGUUUUUGCCAAACUGACCUGGGAGAUGUGGCAUCUCAGGUGCUGCUCAGGUGGGAAACUUGGGCCUGAAGUUGAUCUGCAAGUUCCUGUCAAGGUCCAUCCAAGGCCCCUUGUCUGCCUCACCCAUGGAUUGAAGGCAUUGCUGCUCAAGCUCUGCCAGGCUUUCAAGCCAGAUACAGACCGAGAACGCAGUGGGAGUCGGCCACCUACUUAAGAGCUCUGAAGUACCUGUCACCUCAUAAUAUUUUAAUUUUCCAUAAUGACUAAACUGGAAUAGGUCUUGGUGCUCCCCCACCUGCAGAGAGUAGGAGCACGCACAAAGGCCCCGGCAGUCAUCAGCUCCACCAAGGAUUUUUCCUGCAGACACCAAAGGCACAUGCAGAAAGAUUUUAUAGAUGCUGCUGGCAGGCUCUGCCUGCCUGGCACUUCCCUCUUUCCUGCCCCUAAGCCGUCAUCCUGUCGCCUCCCCAGAAGGGCCUGUGGGCUGUCUGCCACAGAAAACAGCCCACUUGUAAGUGAUGAUGCAUUUCGGCUUCCCGGCUUCCAGAGAUGCUGGCUGAAGAGUCGCAGAGCCUUUACUGCCGUUUCCCUGUACUGGGGUGGGGAAGAACAAAUCUUCCCUAACAGUCAGAAGUGACCAUAUCCGUCAGACUUCUGGGAGGGAGCACAAGGCUGCAGUGAAGACCAUGCUGGGCAUGUGCCAGUGUGUCCUGAGUCAGGACUCCCCACAAAUCUUUGGGCUCCUCCACAGGUCAUGUCCAGCAGAGAAAGUGAGUAUGGAGAGCACCCCUAUUCCCACAAGACCUCCUGCCUUGCAAACUGUUUUUACUAAGCCCUGGAUCCUCCCAGCAAUUGGGGGGGGGGGGCUGGACACUCCUUGUCUUUCCCAGGUGUGAGAGUAGCUACAGCAAUGUAUCACCUGCCUGAGCAUAAUGCAAGCCUCUAGGGGAUGCUACUCAUGCACACUGUGCAGUGUACAACCUGGGAGGCUGCACCCAGGAUUUCUCUCUGAAAGCUGGGUAGCAUGUGUCAAAAUUCUGAGCAUGAUGUGACAGCCUUUGCCAACAGGUCUCUUGAUGAUCACAGAGCCUGCCAUGGGCCCCGGAGUCUGCUGAAUGAGCAGCGGCUUAGCCUUGCUCCUUCUGUGGGCUGUGUUACCCACAUCUUCCUGACUUAGAGAGCAGAGAAGCCCGCCCCCAGGCUUCCAAACAGGCCCUUGUCUACUGAAAGGCAAGGUAGGUGGAACUGGUGCUGUGCCUGAUGCAAAAGCAGAGUGGAGCACGGACGUAGAGAGUGACGCAGGCUGGCAGGACAGGGGUGCGACAUGUCAAAGGGCAGAUUGAUCUGGGCAGGAGAGGUCUGGAAGGAUGCAGUCACUCAUGGCUGGGGACAUGGGAGACAUGCAGGUCUGACCGGCAGAUGAAGGCUCAGGCUGUGCUUGGAGGAAGCACUUGUCACCGGGACAGCAGGACAUUACAGUUAGAAAGGGUUGGUCAAGGGGGCAAGCCACAGCAUUCGUGUGUCUAGGCACCUGCUUGGGCUAGACCACAAGCCCAGCCAAGUGGGCUUGUAGUAAAUGAGGAGGGGCCAUGCUAACAUUCCAGCUGAGGAUUCAUAGGGCACGGUCCAGCCAUGGGCCACGGGCAGGGUGUCAGGCUCAGCCCCUCUGUGGAGCCUUGCAGAGACACUGGCUCGAGCUCUUGAGUGCCCCUGUGAACGGGCCUAUGCGUAGUGUUCAUUAACUCCUGUGACACGGUGGCCACGGGGAAUGUACAAAAGCAUAUCCAAUUAGCCAGGCCUCUGUGAGGAUUUGCACUCUUAAAUCUUUCUGCAUUUCGAAAGGGUUAAAGCUUAUUAUUAGCAUAUAAUUUACAGUCCUUUCUCCCAGGGAAGGAAUAAUGCACAGUAAAUGCCACAUUCAUUUUAAUAAUACAUGUUACAGUCUGUGCCCACAUCUGCACAAAGGUAAAGGAGACAGAUUUUUUUGACAUGUCCCACUCUGCCAUCUAAACACAGGCUUUUUGUUUCUUAAGUGACGGAAGGUUUAAUCAAGAAAGCAGGCAAUUCAUCAAUCGAAACAAGGCAGUGUGCGUGCGCCUGACAGCGCACACAUGGUUGUGUACAGAGCGAACCUGGCCACCUGUCAGCCACCCCUCUACAUCAGGAUCUACAGAUAUGCUGGGUGAUCAAUUCCCAUCCUUCUGUUCAGCUCUUCUUAUCCUUAUUAUAUAUUUUUCUGUAGACUUGAUCUCACUGCCAGUCAUGGCUAGGCCCAACAGAUACACAAGGUGAGCCACAGCUCCCACAGUGGUAACCGAAGUCCCUUCCACCCCUGCCACUACUGCCACCACUGCCACCACUGCCACCACUCACUUCCCUCUGGACCUGAGCACUGCUGUCAGGUCAGCCACUUUCACUGCAUUCUGGAAUGUCCCCCACACUGCACUCUGUGGCUGGUUCAAGUCGCCUCUCCCUGCUGGGCAUUCGUGUGUCUAGGCACCUAACAGCUUUCUAAGUCGUCCUAGGUAUCCCCAGCGCUCCAAUAGAUAAAGGAAAGCGGAGCUGGGAAAUGCAACAUCCCUUCAGGCCACAACAGCAUGUCCACGAGAGAUGAAGGCCACAGGGACACAGGGAACACAGAGGCAGCAUCCAGUGGACAUCAUUAGUGAACCACUCAGCUCAUAUUUGAACUAGGAGGAGACCCACAGCAUGCCACAAGUGGAACCAAGCGUUAUCUGCAUGCCACAGGACAUCUGGGCUGCCCUGUCAUCUGAGCCUCACUUCUCUCGAUCCCAGCCUGAAAAGCUUCACUAAGGCACAAGAGACAGACAGACAGACAGACAAGUCACUCCAAAUGAAAGGAACUAUGUUUGGGGUGGAGUGUUCUGCUUGUACAGCUGCCCAAGCCAGCGUUCCUCAGCUCAUCCACAGAUCUCUGCUUCAGAGAAAAGUGUCCUCCUGUCUGCCCUGACAAGAGGACAGACUUCAACCCAAGCACCUUCAGCCGUCCUCGGCAUUAAGUGUCUUAAGAGGAUCUGGUUUUUCAGAGUGCAGCCAUGGAGGCCAGGAAGAUGUGGCUUGAGCAAUCAGAGACUGCUAGGGGUGUUUGUGGGGGACCUAACACUAGGGAGUAGGGAGUCAAAGCCAUGGAGCGGCCGACCCAGGCCAGAUCAGGACACUGGGCCACCUGCCUGGGGGGGAGGGGGUUGACAAGGACCCUGUGUUUCUGCACAGUGGUGUCCCUUGGGGCCAGAGGUGUGUGUGUGUGUGUGUGUGUGUGUGUGUGUGUGUGUGUGUGUGUGUGGCUUUCCUCACUUGACAGUUUUCAUUUGUAUUUGCUUAAUUUUUAUACCUUUAAUGCCCCCCCAAAAGAUUUUAAAAACUUUUCUGUGGUUUAAAAGGCAAUUAGAGGGAGGAAAGAGAAGGGAGAAACUGUAAUUAUAUUUUAAUUUCAAAAACUAUUUUGAAAAGGCAAUUUCGUGAAGCUCCUAACUGCAGUCAGCAGAGGCCUGGGCGCCCAGCUCCACUGCUCUGGAGGCGCAGUCAUUAAGUGCAUCUGCCACUCGGCUGAAGAAGUACCCUGGGUUAGGAAACGGCAUGGAGACCCUUCCCUCGGGAGUCCUCUGCUACAGUGUGUGACAGCAGGAGCUGAGGAGGGACAGCCUAGGUGCAUUUUUUUCUCACCAAGAUCUCCAGUAAUGCGGGCCACUUCAGCUGAGAGUGGCCAGCUGAGUACCCAGGCCACACGGACUGUUCUCAUCAAACGCCAUUAUCCGCACAGAAAGCUGGGUGUGCUACGAACAGAAUAAAUGCCCAUGAAUGUAAA